AGUAGCUGAUUUCACACUGUCAAGAAAAGUCUCUAUCGAGGUUAAAGGUACCCGUACCGCAAACCGACACAGGAGGGUGAGGAGAGUAUCCUAAGGCCAGCGAGAGAACUGUUGUUAAGGAACUCGGCAAAAUGACCCCGUAACUUAGGGAUAAGGGGUGCCACCAUCAGGUGGCCGCAGAGAAUAGGCCCAAGCGACUGU
rnacentral:rRNA from 1 species